AAUCGUAAAUCAUCGCCUGUUGUUUGUUAUUUUAGAUUCUGAGAUGAACGAAGAAUGUAUUGGUGUUACAAUGAAAGCACAUUUUCUGAAAGAAAUCUAACUGUGGUGGUACUUUAGAGAGGUCGUUUUUGGAUUUUCUCAGGAAUUUUCCUAAUAAAUGGGAAAAACCGUGAAAACGGAAGAAAAACGGGAAAAUGUACGAAAUUUUUUA